rnacentral:rRNA from 1 species
GUUUAACGGCCGCGGUAUUCUGACCGUGCGAAGGUAGCGCAAUCACUUGUUUUUUAAAUGAAGACCAGUAUGAAUGGCAUAACGAGGGCUGAGCUGUCUCCUUUUUCCAGUCAAUGAAAUUGAUCUACCCGUGCAGAAGCGGGUAUAUGAACACAAGACGAGAAGACCCUAUGGAGCUUCAGACACGACAGCCCAUAUAAGCCAAACAAAGUUAAGGGUAAAUUAAAUGGCCCUGCUCUAUUGUCUUUGGUUGGGGCGACCGCGGAGAAACAAAAAUCUUCCAUGUGGAAGGAACCCCCCAAAACAGAGCCACAGCUCUAAUUAACAGAACUUCUGACCAAAAGACCCGGCAGAGCCGAUCAACGGACCGAGUUACCCUAGGGAUAACAGCGCAAUCCUCUGGGAGAGCCCAUAUCGACAAGAGGGUUUACGACCUCGAUGUGGGGUCAGGACAUCCUAAUGGUGCAGCAGCUAUUAAGGG